rnacentral:rRNA from 1 species
AAUGAACGCUGGCGGCGCGCCUAAUACAUGCAAGUCGAGCGAGAAGACGUAGCAAUACGUUUGUAAAGCGGCGAACGGGUGAGGAAUACAUGGGUAACCUACCCUAGAGUGGGGAAUAACUAGCCGAAAGGUUAGCUAAUACCGCGUACGCUCCUUGGACUUCGGUUCAGGGAGGAAAGCGAUGCCGAGGGUAUCGCGCUCUUGGAUGGGCUCAUGUCCUAUCAGCUUGNGGUGAGGUAACGGCUCACCAAGGCUUCGACGGGUAGCUGGUCUGAGAGGACGAUCAGCCACACUGGCACUGCGACACGGGCCAGACUCCUACGGGAGGCAGCAGUAAGGAAUAUUGCGCAAUGGGCGAAAGCCUGACGCAGCGACGCCGCGUGGGGGAUGAAGGUCUUCGGAUUGUAAACCCCUUUCAGCAGGAACG